rnacentral:lncRNA from 1 species
GACACCAUAGAGGUGGGCCUUUGGCGAGUCACAGGCGCGGGUGUUCGGCUACGUCACUGGGGCGCUACGGUGCCUGGAGCUGGGCAGUCUUCUCGUCAGAGUGGGGACUGGUAAGAGCGACCUCACCGCCAGGUCCUGUGUGUUGCCGGCUGAAGAAGGGUAGCUGAAAAAUUCAGACCCAGCACAGUGUUUAUGUUGGUCAAAAAUAGAAAACUAUGUCUGCCGCGGCCGAGGCAGGAGGACCCUUCAGGCCAAGAGCAGCCUAGCAACAUGGCGCAACCCCAUCUCUGUAGUCCUACCUCAGCCCCCCAGCUACUUGAACCCAAAGGUUCAAGGCUCCAGUGAGCUAUGAUCCCACCACAGCAUUCCAGCCUGCGAGAUUGAGAUGAUGAUUAUUCCCCACCUUCUAAGAGACAAAGACCAACGAUCCACCACAGCCACCAGUCCCAGAACCCGCCAAUGCUGGGGAAUGGAAAAUGAGGGAGUUCAACUCUGGCCCUCACAAUCCAGUGGAGGAGACGAAACUCAUCUGCCUCUGUCCCUCUGGGCACGCCUCAUGCCAGGUGCAUCUGUGGACAGGGGCCAUGCUCCUGGGCUUCCAAAGUUGGAGAAAGCUGCCAGGCUCAGGUCUGAAGGCCAGAAUUCUACAGUAAGUCCUACUGAGUCAAGGUGGGAGCAGGGUCGGUGGCUUCCGAGGCUCUGCGGGAGAAUCCGUUUCCUGGCCGUAGAGGUGGCCUGCACUCCUCAGCUUGUGCUGCCCGUCUCGAAUGACUGGAGUUUCCUGCUUCUGUCACUACACCUCCCACCCUCUCCAUCACCUGCUCUGCUCUUAUAAGGAUCCGAAGAAAUGGAAUCAUCGUAUCGCUGAUCUGCGUAAACAAAUUGAAGAAUUGUCUGAAAGAAAAUAUGACAUGAACUUAUGAAUUCAACAGGUAAAGAUUUACAACUUGAUAAAUCAACUUUGUGAGCUCGAGCUGUAAAAGCCAAAGGUCCAGUGAUGAUCCCAUACCCUUUUGUCCAGUCUCAUGUUGAAGAUUUUUAUGUAGAAGGCCUUCCCAAAGGAAUUUUUUUUUUUUUUUUGAGAUGGAGUUUUCACUCUUAUCGCCCAGGCUGGGGUGCAAUGGCGCAACCUUGCUGGUCACUGCAACCUCUGCCUCCUGGGUUCAAGAAAUUCUCUUGCCUUAGCCUCCCAAGUUGCUGGGAUUACAGGUGCCCACCACCACACCAGGCUAAUUUUUGUAUUUUUAGUGGAGAUGGGGUUUCACCAUGUUGGCCGGGCCAGUCUCGAACUCCUGACGUCAAGUGAUCUUCCCGCCUCGACUCCUGACAUCAAGUGAUCUUCCCACCUCGGCCUCCAAGAGUGCUGAGAUUACAGAUGUGAACCCAUGCCUGGCCAGGAAUUUUGUUUUUUAGGAAGGCUUUCUACUAAUGGAAUUCCUGGCCUUGAGAGGAUGUUACUUUCGAAGGAAAGGAUUUUUUUGUUAUUAAAAGAGCCACCUAAGCUGAAGAUUCCCUUGAGAACAAGUACUGUCCUGCGGUUUCAUGGCCUUUCUUCCAUUUGUGGUUCUUGUGAAGUGGAAUUUAAAUGACAUCAAGAUGGAUAAACCCUAGUUUCCCAGUGCUGGAAUAUAGAAAAUGGAUGGACAAGUAAAUCCCACUCAGCACCCAUAGUCCAGGCAUGGGGAUCUCAACACACCUGAGCCCCAGACAUCACCUUUCAUUCUGGACCUACCAUGAAAGACUUCUGAAUCCAGGAAGAGAAACUGACUGGGCAACAUGUUAUUCAGUGCAAGGAUUACAGGUAUGAGCCACCAUGCCUGGCCCCUACCCUGCCUAUUGAGAACCAAAAGAAGGAUCCAAAUUCUCCUUAGCUCAACUCGAGCCAUUUCCUGAUUGCUUCAUCAGCAAGGACCUGGUUAUUGGGCUGUCCAGGCCUCCCAAGCAGCACAGAAAUGAGGUGAAGGAGUUUUCCUGCUGCUCCACUCUGUAAGGAGUUGGAGGGUGAUGUUUACUCGUUUGCAGAGAGAGAUGCCUUGUAGGCACCUCAGGAUGGAGAGGACCCUGAUUCCAAUGUCCUUUUUUU